UACGAAGGGGGCUAGCGUUGUUCGGAUUUACUGGGCGUAAAGCGCACGUAGGCGGCGCAGCAAGUCAGGGGUGAAAUCCCGGGGCUCAACCCGGACCGUAGCCUCGAAACUGCAGUGCUAGAAUUCUGGAGAGGCGAGUGGAAUUCCGAGUGUAGAGGUGAAAUUCGUAGAUAUUCGGAAGAACACCAGUGGCGAAGGCGACUCGCUGGACAGACAUUGACGCCGU
rnacentral:rRNA from 1 species